ACCUCUAGCAUGACUAGUAUUAGAGGCACUGCCUGCCCAGUGACACACGUUAAACGGCCGCGGUACUCUGACCGUGCAAAGGUAGCAUAAUCAUUUGUUCUCUAAAUAAGGACUUGCAUGAAUGGCCACACGAGAAUUCAACUGUCUCUUGCUUUUUAUCAGUGAAAUUGACCUUCCCGUGAAGAGGCGGGUAUGUAACUAUAAGACGAGAAGACCCUAUGGAGCUUAAAUUAAUUAAUUCAACAACUCAAAUUACUAAGUGCUAAUAGCAUAUAUCUCUAGUUUCAUGAAUUAACAAUUUAGGUUGGGGUGACCUCGGAGCAUAAAAAACCCUCCGAAUGAUAUUAUGUUAAGACUCAACCAGUCUAAACUUCUACAUCACCAAUUGAUCCAUAUACUUGAUCAACGGAACAAGUUACCCUAGGGAUAACAGCGCAAUCCUAUUCUAGAGUCCCUAUCGACGAUAGGGUUUACGACCUCGAUGUUGGAUCAGGACAUCCCAAUGGUGUAGCAGCUAUUAAA
rnacentral:rRNA from 1 species